rnacentral:misc_RNA from 1 species
GAUGAAGAACGUAGCAAAAUGCGAUAAGUAAUGUGAAUUGCAGAAUUCAGUGAAUCAUCGAAUCUUUGAACGCACAUUGCGCCCGCCAGUAUUCUGGCGGGCAUGCCUGUCUGAGCGUCAUUUCAACCCUCAUGCCCCUAGGGCGUGGUGUUGGGGAUCGGCCAAAGCCCGCGAGGGACGGCCGGCCCCUAAAUCUAGUGGCGGACCCGUCGUGGCCUCCUCUGCGAAGUAGUGAUAUUCCGCAUCGGAGAGCGAUGAGCCCCUGCCGUUAAACCCCCAACUUUCCAAGGUUGACCUCAGAUCAGGUAGGAAUACCCGCUGAACUUAAGCAUAUCAAUAAGCGGAGA